ensembl:Mt_tRNA
GCUAGUGUAGCUUAACGUAAAGCAUAACACUGAAGAUGUUAAAAUGAACCCUACAAAGUUCCACAAGCA